rnacentral:rRNA from 1 species
AUACGUAGGGUGCAAGCGUUAUCCGGAAUCACUGGGCGUAAAGGGUACGUAGGCGGCUUUGCAAGUCAGAAGUGAAAGGCAUUGGCUCAACCAAUGUAAGCUUUUGAAACUGCAAAGCUAGAGUUCAGGAGAGGUAAGUGGAAUUCCUAGUGUAGAGGUGAAAUUCGUAGAUAUUAGGAGGAACACCAGUGGCGAAGGCGACUUACUGGACUGAUACUGACGCUGAGGUACGAAAGCGUGGGGAGCAAACAGGAUUAGAAACCCCGGUAGUCC